rnacentral:tRNA from 1 species
GAGUCAUUAAUGUAGUGGUUUGAGUGUUGGACUACAACUCUGAAGACCAGGGUUCAAUUCCCAGCAUGGUCA